UACAGAGGUCUCAAGCGUUGUUCGGAUUCAUUGGGCGUAAAGGGUGUGUAGGUGGCGCGCUAAGUCGGGUGUGAAAUUUCGGAGCUUAACUCCGAAACUGCAUUCGAUACUGCCGUGCUUGAGGACUGGAGAGGAGACUGGAAUUUACGGUGUAGCGGUGAAAUGCGCAGAUAUCAGGAGGAACACCGGUGGCGAAGGCGGCUUGCUGGGCCAGUUCUGACGCUGAGGAGCGAAAGCGUGGGGAGCGAACAGG
rnacentral:rRNA from 1 species